CGAUUUUGGGAGAAGAACUGUUGAUGCCCAUCGAGAUUUCAUCUCGUUUUCUAGCUGUAUGCCCAGAUCUUGAAUUUUUUUGGCAGAAGAAUUUCUACUGCCGUCACUUAGAAUUAUAUCUCAGGUUUAUGAUGUGACUUCAAAAGUUAUGAUGUAUGACAAAUCUGUGGUGACGCUUUAUAUUGCGGCAAGGAAAUAAAAUCUUCAGAUUUUAUGAUUGUGUUGUCCAUGUCUUGCGGGAUGUCGAGCUGCUCGGCCCAACCUACUUUGAUGCUGAUGUCCAGAAGUUCGUCACAUACUCACAUCGCAUACAAAGGGUUUUGACAUGGUCGAGAAGGGCUGUCUGAAGCGCCUCCAUAAGGAGUACCACACGCUCUGCUAGGAGCCGCGUUGUAGAUCGUGGUUAGCUGCCGCCCAACGACAUGUUGGAGUGUUGUAGGGUUUGUCUCCAACACUGCUCCUUGAGGAUGCAUCGGAUGUGUGGUUGUUGUAGACAGCUAACCUCCACCCUGUUGUUGUGCGAUGGUGGCAGCGGUCGCCUCUUCUUCGUCUCCAUGGUACAGGGUUCUUGGAUCAAGUUGGUGCUCUGAGAAUGCGAUGCUUGUUUGGGACCAAGCAGUAAGGACACGUCGGAAACUCCCUUGCUGUCCGUCUUAUGCCUGCGUCCGUGGCCUAUAUAUGUAACAUUUUGGUCCUUGUGAUGAUGCCAAGCAGCCGUCAUGGCAGUAACAUACAUCAUCCUUGUGAUGCUCCCGAUCCAUUCAGGAGAUGUAAUAGCAUGGUAGAAAUCUUUUUCCCCCUUCGCCAUAACUUUUGGUGGAAGCUCAUGUUUUUUGGUCAUAGGUCGUGUUUUUUGCCCUUUUGUUGUUGAUUAUCUGCCACGAGUUUCCGAAAACAG